rnacentral:rRNA from 1 species
GAUGAACGCUCGCUACAGGCUUAACACAUGCAAGUCGAGGGGAAACGACAUCGAAAGCUUGCUUUUGAUGGGCGUCGACCGGCGCACGGGUGAGUAACGCGUAUCCAACCUGCCCAUCACUUGGGAAUAACCUUGCGAAAGUAAGACUAAUACCCAAUGAUAUCCCACGAAGGCAUCGGAAUGGGAUUAAAGAUUUAUCGGUGAUGGAUGGGGAUGCGUCUGAUUAGCUUGUUGGCGGGGUAACGGCCCACCAAGGCAACGAUCAGUAGGGGUUCUGAGAGGAAGGUCCCCCACAUUGGAACUGAGACACGGUCCAAACUCCUACGGGAGGCAGCAGUGAGGAAUAGUGGUCAAGGGGCGAGAGCCUGAACCAGCCAAGUAGCGUGCAGGAAGACGGCCCUAUGGGUUGUAAACUGCUUUUAUAAGGGAAUAAAGUGGGUCACGUGUGACUUUUUGCAUGUACCUUAUGAAUAAGGACCGGCUAAUUCCGUG